rnacentral:rRNA from 1 species
UACGGAGGGUGCGAGCGUUGUCCGGAAUCACUGGGCGUAAAGGGCGCGUAGGCGGUGCGGUAAGUCACCUGUGAAAUCUCCUGGCUCAACUGGGAGCUUGCAGGCGAAACUGCCGUGCUGGAGUGUGGGAGAGGUGAGUGGAAUUCCCGGUGUAGCGGUGAAAUGCGUAGAUAUCAGGAGGAACACCGGUGGUGUAGACGGCUUUCUGGACCGUAACUGACGCUGAGACACGAAAGCGUGGGUAGCAAACAGG